rnacentral:lncRNA from 1 species
AAAGAAAAGGGAAAAGGGGGAAGAGAAUGUUAGAAAAAAGGAAACAUCAAACACGAGGGAAGGAAGACCAUUUCCCCCAAAACGGAGCCCUAGAAACACUGAAAACCCAACCCAUUUCUAGCAAAAAUUCUCGUUCAUCUUCUCUGGUAGAUGAACGUAGCUGAUUUUUAGCUGGACUUGUGCAUCAAUCAGUAGCAGCUGUAAAGGAGUAGGUCAUUUUUCCUCUUUCCGAUGAAAUUCCAGUCCGUCUUCUCCGACACAUUUUUAUGAUCAUACUAGAAAUUUGGAUUUGAUUGUGUUGGUUGACUAUUGUGGCUGUUUGGAUAUUGGUCUAUCACGGUCUUAAAAUUUCGAAGCUCUAUUUACUAUUGCAUCUGUUCUUUACCAUUGUUACUCUAUUUC